rnacentral:rRNA from 1 species
GAGGUUAAACGGCCGCGGUAUUCUGACCGUGCAAAGGUAGCAUAAUCACUUGUUCCUUAAUUAGGGACUAAAAUGAACGGCUGAACGAGGGUUUAACUGGCUCUUAUUUCCCAUCCGUGAAACUGACCUUCCCGUGAAGAGGCGGGAAUAACAAGACAAGACCCUAUGGAGCUUUAACUUAUUAACUUAAUUUCAACUAAUAAUAAUCUAAUGAAAUAAAAUCUGAAAACUAGUUAAUGAUUUAGGUUGGGGUGACCUCGGAGAAUAGAAUAACCUCCGAAAGAUUUCAAUUAGGCUGACAAGCCAAAAUAAGAAUUUUAUCAAAUCGACCCAUUAAUUUUGAUCGACGAACCAAGUUACCCUAGGGAUAACAGCGCAAUCCUAUUCAAGAGUUCAUAUCGAAAAUAGGGUUUACGACCUCGAUGUUGGAUCAGGAUGUCCCAA